rnacentral:miRNA from 1 species
GUGGGAUGAGGAAGGGAGGAG